AUUGAACGCUGGCGGCAUGCCUUACACAUGCAAGUCGAACGGCAGCACGGGUGCUUGCACCUGGUGGCGAGUGGCGAACGGGUGAGUAAUAUAUCGGAACGUACCUUAUUGUGGGGGAUAACGCAGCGAAAGCUGUGCUAAUACCGCAUAAUCCCUAAGGGGGAAAGCGGGGGACCGUAAGGCCUCGCGCAAUUAGAGCGGCCGAUACCUGAUUAGCUAGUUGGGGAGGUAAAGGCUCACCAAAGCAACGAUCAGUAGCUGGUCUGAGAGGACGAUCAGCCACACUGGGACUGAGACACGGCCCAGACUCCUACGGGAGGCAGCAGUGGGGAAUUUUGGACAAUGGGGGCAACCCUGAUCCAGCAAUGCCGCGUGAGUGAAGAAGGCCUUCGGGUUGUAAAGCUCUUUUGUCAGGGAAGAAACAGCAGCUCUAACACAGUUUGCGAAUGACGGUACCUGAAGAAUAAGCACCGGCUAACUACGUGCCAGCCGCCGCGGUAA
rnacentral:rRNA from 1 species